ensembl:lncRNA
UCUUGUUUGCUUGGGGUCGCUUUUUUUUGAUGAGCCUUAAAUUUUCAAGGAACCCAAAAGCACCUGCCUUCUGUAAAAAAUUCAGCAAGCUCCUUUCCUGUCUCCGUUGAUAGUGCAGCUUGGUCUGGACCUCAUUGGAUUAAAGGUCCUAGGAAGUUACCCCCUUAUUUUAAGAGAAAUGCUAAUAGUUUGAGCAGAGUUAGCUCUAUUUAUACCCUGCCUCUGUUAACAAGUCAGAAAAAGUAAACUUGAUUUCUUUGACAGGCACACGCUUCCUAUGUCCUGGUGGCAGUCAGACAGAUUUGUUGCAAGAAAAAAAAGCUGGAAAGAGUUUAAAAGGCUGGAACUGGCACGGUGGGACCCCUGCAUGUUUCUGAAUGCAGGGAGGCCUUCUUAACCCCUUUAGACCUAAAGUACUUCCCUAUGCUAAGAAUGGCAUUUACUUCUGAAAGAGUACUUGUCUAAAUAACACGGACCCGCAAUCAGGGGAUUUCCCCACAGCAAGGGGCUACACAAUCACUGCUAAAAGGAACAAGUAAUAGGAUUGAAGCAAUUAAAGCUAGAAUAUCAUAUUUUAACAGAGGAAGUAGGGGAAAAAAAAUAACUUAUUUAAACUCAGGAUCUGCAAAGCAAUAUGUCUUCACUAAUUUCCCCAGGGCUCCUCCAAGCUUUCUACUCCUCUUUGCUGCUGCGAUUUGCAGGAUGCUGUUUUUAAUGCUGCCCUCCAACCCACCAGCAAGACAUUAAAAGUGUCCCCGAAUUCCUCCACAUUUCCUGAAAGCAAGAUCCUGUUGUACACUGCUUUGCUGACCUCUUUAACAGCGACAACAAAAAAAUAGUAGAAGUUCAACUCUAUGGAAACCUGCAUAAAGGAAUGUACAGCAUUUUUGCAUUGGGGGGAAAAAAAGUUUGCUCCAGCUGAGUUCCUCGCUCCCUGAUUAUUACAGUAAGGGGCUGAUCCUGUUAGUGCUGAACAUUUGCCAAAAUCCAGAGACAAGUGAUAGAAGUCAACGUUGCUCAGCACCGUGCAGGAUUCGAGCCCUUGGGCUGGAUUCUGGGCUGUUGGAACGGAUCCUGCACGAGGCUGCGUGCGUCCAGGUUGAGGCUCACGUCCCCGCCAUGGGGACCAGAGUGUGGCCGUCCAUGAAGAACCAGACGCUGGCUUUCGGAGGCCAGAUGGAGCGGUCACCUGCUUUGCUACGGCCACCUCUGCCCGGCCCAGGGGCGUAUCCUCUGGGGACAGCAUGAAGAGUCUGCCUACAGACUACAUGGCAGCAGUGUUCAAGGAGAUGCAGCAUUUUCUUUUCCAUGGCAGUUUUGAAGAUAACCAGUCCUUGAAAGCCUGAUGUGAGCACGGCCAGCAGAGCUAUUGUAGGUAAUGGUUGAGAUUCAUGCAGUUUAAUCAUUAU